UGAUGCAGAUAGGCUAGGGGAUGGGUUGGAAACUCUGUAAGGAACCCGGCUACAGCACCAUUAGAUCUGCUCCCCUUCAACUACUCAAGGGUAAUAUUUCGCUGGUUCCUUUUUAUUCCAUAAUUUCCUGAUGUAAGAUUUGUGAUCUGGAAUUUGACUCUUCUAACCACCUAUUUGAGAUCUCCUUUUCCUAGUUGCAGUUCAUCUAGAUCAGGAGUAAGAUCAAUGUCCUUUGCUCUUAUCAAAGGUAUGGUUCAUACUUCUAUGUUCCGAACUGUCUCUAAAUUUGUACAAUGAAUAAUUUCAACUCAAGUUUCCCCUUUAAGCUGCAAUAUUAUGCAAUCUCCAACAUGCUCAAGAACAUCUAAUAUGUGACUAGACUCUACGUUCAGAGUAUUAACAAUGCAACUAUACUAGGAAUAGCCGAGGGCUUGUAUCAUGGGCCAUACCAUAGUUACUAGCCGCUGAAAAAUCUAUAUACUAAAAGGUUCAUUCAGAUGCUAAUACUGCUCGGUGGAACAGAAAAUGAUUAUGUUAUUCUGUAAUAUUUUUUCUCCAUGUGAACACUUGUCAGUAUACUCUGUCUCUUAUGUUUUAUUCCCCUAUAACGCAGGCACAUUAAUCGACUGCUCACCGUAGGUAGCAGGACUGGGUUUGCAAUAUCAAGAUAAUCUUAUCGACCUUGCUAUGUUGGUAAAGUCUGAAGCUUAAACUUUUUACUAACUUCUCCACUUUCUGUUUUCUUACAGUCCAGUACUUGACAAUUCCUUACCUGGUUGUGUAUGCCUACCAUUUAAGCUCAUCGUGUCCUUCGUUUGUGCAUAACUUGUAUUUUUAUUUGUUAUAUUUAGAUUGAGUAAUCAUCGUACAACUCCAGUGCACGUACACAAUUAGUUGUAGCUGUUGGGGAAGGUGAGUAAGCACACAACUGAUUAAAAUAGUGUAGAUAGUACUAGUACUAGUUGCUUAUGGCACGUAGUUGUACAUAAGGUGAUGAACGGCCAAAUUCAUAGCAUGUCUAAAUCAAUUCAGAGAUGAGAAAACAUACAGUUAAUAGAAAUAAUGUGGCAUGUAGUGGUUGGGUGAUGACCUCCAGAUAUUGCAUUAUUCUGAGAUUGUUCAGUACAUUGAAUGGAUGAAUGGCUAUCACUUCUUACUAAAGAAACAUUUUUGUGUUUUGAUCUACGAUUUUUUAGUACAUUACCGAUCUGUUUUUGUAGUGAUGUGCUGAUCUAAACUUUUGUAGUAACCAAAGCGUCAAACAACUAUACUUAUGCAAGGCCCUGUUUGAUAGCUCUGUAUUUUCUAAGUAUUCUAAAAAUACUAUAGUUUUUAGGAUUACCAUGGUUUUAAUUACUUUGAGCUAUUUGACAAGACCUAAAAACUAUGAUAUUAAUUUCCAAUACUAUGGUAUUUUCUCUGUUUUAAAAAAAGAACCUCAGACCUCUUUUUUUAAAACUGAGCACGUGAAGGAACAAACUCAUCAUUAUCUUUGGUCGCUCCGAAGCCGCCGCCGGCAGCCCCAUUGUCUGUGGAGGUCGUCUUGAUCGGGCGGCCAUGGACAGAUCAAGGAACGGCAGUACAGUGCGGUACGAACUGCCAUGGUUGAUGGGGCAGGGCAAGCUGCUCCGGGCAACACGGAUGAAAGCCAAGUUUUCCAGUUCACGAGAAGCUUCGCCGCAUGAUCCGUUGCCGACACCACCGUCUUGCGGAGCUUUAGGUCAUACCUCCACGCACACCUCUUGGUGAUCCGAGACGCGAAAAGAAAACCAAGCUGCUCGGGGCAACGCGCAGCUCCGCCGUUGACUGCCUCCUCCUAAUCCAAUUUGCUCUGGUAGGUGUAACACCGAGAUUGUGCAUGCCGUGUUUAGCUUGGCCAUUCAGUUAGUGCAUGAUCAUACAUCUGUGCUAAGUGCAUGCCCGUUAAUCAGUUUAGAUGUGUCUAGCUAGCUCAACGCACCGUUCGAAACUGCUUCAAACGGCUCUUGCCAAACACGUGCACAGUAUUCUAAAUACUUUCAAAUACUCUGUUAUGGCAAAACUAUGGUAUUAUGUAUCUAUGAACUCUGUGUUUGAUAGCAAAGUAUUAUAUAAACCAAAGUAUCAAAAACUACAGUAAUUUUGCAUGUAGGUGUGAGAUACCAUAGUUUUAUCAAAACAUAGUAUUUUGCAGUAUUCACAAUACAUAGAACCUGUUUGGCUGUUGUCGCAUAACGCUGUAAGUUUUGUUGUUUAGCUGUUGCGUUUGAGCACCCAGCAGCUAUGUUUUUUAAAAAGAGGUUUGGGGUUCUUUUUUUAUGCAGAGAAAAAACUUCAGUUUGCCCAAUACUACAGUAGUAAAAGCACAGUUGUUAGGGGCAACCAAACAGCUCAUUGUAAAUAAAACUAUGGUAAUCUAAAAAACUGUAGUAUUCUCAAAAUACUUAGAAAAUACUUUGCUAUCAAGUAGUUUGCAAUACUUCAGUUUUUAUAAUACUUUGUUAUCAAAUGGUCAGUAGAUUACUAUAAUUCAUUGUCAUAUGAUGCCCUACUGGACUCACUAGUCAUUCACAUGCUACUUAGAACUUUAAGUAGCACACUAGUUAAAAGUGCAGCAGGGAUCGAUGUAAAUUUUUUUGACUAACAAUUUUUAUAAAAGUUUGUGUCUUCUUGUUUUGCCAAACUAAUAUACCGUAUCAUUGGCCCAUCUGCUUACCCGCAAAUCUAGUUAAUAAUGUACUCAGAUUCGUAAUUUGAUAGAUUAUUAUAUGCUUUUUAGUGGUACUGUUAUACGUUUUUAUCUUGUAUGUUUUCAUCUCAUUAAGAUGCAACACGCUGUUGUGUUUCCUCAGUUUAUAGGCAUUGGGGGGAGUUAGCUGUGAGAUUUGAAGCACAAGACAGAGCACUUGAAGAGAUGCAAAGGAAGCAUCAAGAAGAAUUGGAAGCUGUGAAGAAGAGCCAACAAAAGAAGAAUGAAGCCUGGGAAAAGAAGCAAUACAUGAUACAGUUAACCUGAUUGGUUUUCUAUUGAGGGCUCAAGCAACUCAGAAAGAUUCCAUUGUCUUGUGUAUUGUCGUGUCAAACUUGAUUCGGUGUUAUUUUUUAUUGUCAUUUCUAUUUAGAGGAUGAUUUUCCUAAGAGAUUGAAUAUAUAAUAUGAUUUGUCUUUCGUUUCAUAAUGUGAUUUGGCUCACAAUUUAUUUAUAUAAUGUGAUGUGAUGUGAAUUAAAUACUUAUUGUUGAAAUGCAUUUGCAAUAUAGUGGAUCUGAUAAUUCAUUGCAAAUUAUUCAAAAUAUAGUAAAUGUAUUUUGAUGAUGUCAUCUUCAUCAAUAAUGAAAGUAGUGAUGCUCGUAGUGGGGUAAUCUGUGCGGGUGUUGAUGUGGCAUAAAGUCAGUAACGUUGCUCCAUCAUUGAAUAUUGUACAACAUGG
rnacentral:lncRNA from 1 species